rnacentral:rRNA from 1 species
GAUGAACGCUAGCUACAGGCUUAACACAUGCAAGUCGAGGGGCAGCGCAGUGUAGCAAUACAUGGGCGGCGACCGGCGCACGGGUGCGUAACGCGUAUCCGACCUUCCUGUUACUCAGGGAUAGCCUUCCGAAAGGGAGAUUAAUACCUGAUGGUGUUCAAAUUCCGCAUGUUAUUUGAACUAAAGAUUUAUCGGUAACGGAAUGGGAUGCGUGACAUUAGAUAGUAGGCGGGGUAACGGCCCACCUAGUCUACGAUGUCUAGGGGUUCUGAGAGGAAGGUCCCCCACACUGGACCUGAGACACGGUCCAGACUCCUACGGGAGGCAGCAGUGAGGAAUAUUGGUCAAUGGUCGGAAGACUGAACCAGCCAAGUAGCGUGAAGGAUGAAGGUUCUAUGGAUUGUAAACUUCUUUUAUACGGGAAUAAAACCUCCCACGUGUGGGAGCUUGUAUGUACCGUAUGAAUAAGCAUCGGCUAACUCCGUGCCAGCCGCCGCGGUAAAAC